GCUUUCGUCAGUUGACUUGGCGGUUUGGGGUAGGCUGAUCAAGGGCUUGCACUGGCCGGCGCAUGUCGACCUGUCACAUGUUCCCAGUCGAGUCUCCGAGCUCAAUCUGUGUGUAAAAUUAUGUGUUGGUAGGAAGUUUAAUGACUCAGCUUAAUUGGUAUGCUAUGCUGUCUAUCUUUUAGAUUAUGUGUUUGGAGAGCAACAUUAUGUGUAUAUUAUGUUACAGGGCUAGGUAAAGGUUAAAGGUUUUUGGCGUUAGGGUUAAAAUCACUGUCCAAAACCUUUGUAGGAACUCCUUUCCAACCUUUUGGAGUUAGCUAGACCAAAAAAAAAAAAAAAAGAAAAAUGAAAAAAAAUUUUUUGGGGGUGUUAAGGCUUCCUUAAGGUAAUACCCGGGUAUUAGGUUACGGGGCUAGGGUAAGGUUUAAGGUUUUUGGCGUUUGGGUUAAAAUCACUGUCCAAAACCUUUGUAGGAACUCUUUUCCAACCUUUUGGAGUUAGCUAGACCAAAAAAAAAAAAGGAAAAAUGAAAAAAAAAAUGUUUGGGAUGUGAAGGCUUCCUUAAGGUAAUACCCGGGUAUUAGGUUCGGGGAUAGGGUAAGGUUUAAGGUUUUUAGCGUUAGGGUUAAAAUCACUGUCCAAUAUUUUUAAGGAACAUGUUUCAGACCUUUUGGAGUUAGUUACACCAAAAAAAAAAUGUAAAAUGAAAAAGAAAUAUUUGGGGUGUUCGGGCUUCCUGAAGGUAAUACCCAGGUAUUAGGUUAUGGGGCUUUGGAAAGGUUUAAGGUUUUUGGCGUUUGGGUUAAAAUCACUGUCCAAAACCUUUGUAGGAACUCUUUUCCAACCUUUUGGAGUUAGCUAGACCAAAAAAAAAAACGAAAAAUAAAAAUAAAAUUUUUUGGUGUGGUAGGGCAUCCUUUAGCUAAUACCCAGGUAUUAGGUUUCAGGGCUAGGUAAAGGUUAAAGGCUUUUGGCGUUAGGGUUAAAAUAACUGUCCAAUAUUUUUUAAGGAACAUGUUUCAGACCUUUUGGAGUUCGUUAGACCAAAAGAAAAACGAAAAAUGAAAAAAAAAAAUGUUUGGGGUGUUAAGGCUUCCUUAAGGUAAUACCCAGGUAUUAGGUUACGGGGCUAGGGUAAGGUUUAAGGUUUUUGGCGUUAGGGUUAAAAUCACUGUCCAAAACCUUUGUAGGAACUCUUUUCCAACCUUUUGGAGUUAGUUAGACCAAAAAAAAAAAAGAAAAAUGAAAAAAAAUAAAUUUGGGGUUUUCGGGCUUCCUGAAUGUAAUACCCGUGUAUUAGGUUAUGGGGCUAGGGUAGGGUUUAAGGUUUUUGGCGUUAGGGUUAAAAUCACUGUCCAAAACCUUUGUUGGAACAAGUUUCAGACCUUUUGGAGUUAGUUAGACCAAAAAAAACGAAAAAUGAAAAAAAAAAUAUGGGGUUUUUUGGGCUUCCUGAAGGUAAUACCCAGGAAUUAGGUUAUGGGACUAGGGAAAGGUUUAAGGUUUUUGGCGUUAGAGUUAAAAUCACUGUCCAAAACCUUUUUAGGAACAUAUUUCAGACCUUUUGGAGUUAGUUACACCAAAAAAAAAAGGAAAAGGAAAAAAAAUAUUUGGGGUUUUCGGGUUUCCUGAAGGUAAUACCCGGAUAUUAGGUUAUGGGGCUUUGGAAAGGUUUAAGGUUUUUGGCGUUAGGGUUAAAAUCACUGUCCAAAACCUUUGUAGGAACUCUUUUCCAACCUUUUGGAGUUAGUUAAACCAAAAAAAAAUGAAAAAUGAAAAAAAAAUAUUUGGGGUUUUCGGGCUUCCUGAAGGUAAUACCAGGGUAUUAGGUUUUGGGGCUAGGGUAAGGUUAAAGGUUUUUGGCGUUAGGGUUAAAAUCACUGUCCAAAACCUUUGUAGGAACUCUUUUCCAACCUCUUGCAGUUAGUUAGACCAAAAAAAAAUGAAAAAUGAAAAAAAAAUGUUUGGGGUUUUCGGGCUUCCUGAAGGUAAUACCCGGGAAUUAGGUUAUGGGGCUAGGGAAAGGUUUAAGGAUUUUGGUGUUAGGGUUAAAAUCACCAUCCAAAACCUUUUUAGGAACAUGUUUCAGACCUUUUGGAGUUAGUUAGACAAAAGAAAAUGAAAAAUGAAAAAAAAAGAUUUUUGGGGUUUUCGGGCUUCCUGAAGGUAAUACCCGGGUAUUAGGUUUUGGGGCUAGGGUAAGGUUUAAGGUUUUUGGCGUUAGAGUUAAAAUCACUGUCCAAAACCUUUUUAGGAACAAGUUUCAAACCUUUUGGAGUUAGUUAGACAAAAAAAAAAUGAAAAAUGAAAAAAAAAAAUGUUUGGGGUGUUAAGGCUUCCUUUAGGUAAUACCCGGGUAUUAGUUAUGGGGCUAGGGUAAGGUUUAGGGUUUUUGGCGUUAGGGUUAAAAUCACUGUCCAAAACCUUUGUUGGAACAAGUUUCAGACCUUCUGGAGUUAGUUACACCAAAAAAAAAAAGGAAAAGGAAAAAAAAAUAUUUGGGGUUUUCGGGUUUCCUGAAGGUAAUACCCGGAUAUUAGGUUAUGGGGCUUUGGAAAGGUUUAAGGUUUUUGGCGUUAGGGUUAAAAUCACUGUCCAAAACCUUUGUAGGAACUCUUUUCAAACCUUUUGGAGUUAGUUAGACAAAAAAAAAAUGAAAAAUGAAAAAAAAAAUGUUUGGGGUGUUAAGGCUUCCUUUAGGUAAUACCCGGGUAUUAGGUAAUGGGGCUAGGGUAAGGUUAAGGGUUUUUGGCGUUAGGGUUAAAAUCACUGUCCAAAACCUUUGUUGGAACAAGUUUCAGACCUUCUGGAGUUAGUUACACCAAAAAAAAAAGGAAAAGGAAAAAAAAAUAUUUGGGGUUUUCGUGUUUCCUGAAGGUAAUACCCGGAUAUUAGGUUAUGGGGCUUUGGAAAGGUUUAAGGUUUUUGGCGUUAGGGUUAAAAUUACUGUCCAAAACCUUUGUAGGAACUCUUUUCCAACCUUUUGGAGUUAGUUAAACAAAAAAAAAAAGAAAAAUGAAAAAAAAAUAUUUGGGGUUUUCGGGCUUCCUGAAGGUAAUACCCGUAUUAGGUUAUGGGGCUAGGGUAAGGUUUAAGGUUUUUGGCGUUAGGGUUAAAAUCACUGUCCAAUAUUUUUUAAGGAACAUAUUUCAGACCUUUUGGAGUUAGUUAGACCAAAAAAAAUGAAAAAUGAAAAAGAAAAUUGGGGGGUUUUCGGGCUUCCUGAAGGUAAUACCCGUAUAGGGAUAUCUGGCUAGGGUAUGGUUUAAGGUUUUUGGCGUUAGGGUUAAAAUCACUGUCCAAUAUUUUUUAAGGAACAUGUUUCAGACCUUUUGGAGUUAGUUAGACAAAAAUAAUGAAAAAUGAAAAAAAAAUAUUUGGGGUUUUCGGGCUUCCUGAAGGUAAUACCCGUAUUAGGUUAUGGGGCUAGGGUAAGGUUUAAGGUUUUUGCCGUUAGGGUUAAAAUCACUGUCCAAAACCUUUUUUGGAACAUGUUUCAGACCUUUUGGAGUUAGUUAGACCAAAAAAAAUGAAAAAUGAAAAAAAAAAAUUGGGGUGUUUUCGGGCUUCCUGAAGGUAAUACCUGUAUAAGGAUAUCUGGCUAGGGUAUGGUUUAAGGUUUUUGGCGUUAGGGUUAAAAUCACUGUCCAAAACCUUUGUAGGGACAAGUUUCAAACCUUUUGGAGUUAGUUAGACCAAAAAAAAAAUGAUAAAUGAAAAAAAAAUGUUUGGGGUGUUAAGGCUUCCUUUAGGCAAUACCCGGGUAUUAGGUUUUGGGGCUAGGGUAGGGUUUAAGGUUUUUGGCGUUAGGGUUAAAAUCACUGUCCAAAACCUUUGUAGGAAAAAGUUUCAGACCUUUUGGAGUUAGUAAGACCAAAAAAAAAAGAAAAAUGAAAAAAAAAUGUUUGGGGUGUUUGGGCCUCCUAAGGGUAAUACCCGGGUAUUAGGUUAUGGGGCUAGGGUAAGGUUUAAGGUUUUUGGCGUCAGGGUUAAAAUCACAGUCCAAAACCUUUGUUGGAACAAGUUUCAGACCUUCUGGAGUUAGUUACACCGAAAAAAAAAGGAAAAUGAAAAAAAAAUAUUUGGGGUGUUCGGGUUUCCUGAAGGUAAUACCCGGGUAUUAGGUUAUGGGGCUUGGGUAAGGUUUAAGGUUUAAGGUUUUUGGCGUUAGGGUUAAAAUCACUGUCCAAAACCUUUGUUGGAACAAGUUUCAGACCUAUUGGAGUUAGUUACACCAAGAAAAAAUGUAAAAUGAAAAAAAAAAUAUUUGGGAUUUUCAGGCUUCCUGAAGGUAAUACCCGGGUAUUAGGUUUUGGGGCUAGGGUAAGGUUUAAGGUUUUUGGCGUUAGGGUUAAAAUCACUGUCCAAAACCUUUGUAGGAACAAGUUUCAAACCUUUUGGAGUUAGUUAGACCAAAAAAAAUGAAAAAUGAAAAAAAAAAUGUUUGGGGUGUUAAGGCUUCCUUUAGGUAAUACCCGGGUAUUAGGUUAUGGGGCUAGGGUAAGGUUUAAGGUUUUUGGCGUUAGGGUUAAAAUCACUGUCCAAAACCUUUGUUGGAACAAGUUUCAGACCUUCUGGAGUUAGUUACACCAAAAAAAAAGGAAAAUGAAAAAAAAAUAUUUGGGGUGUUCGGGUUUCCUGAAGGUAAUACCCGGGUAUUAGGUUAUGGGGCUUUGGAAAGGUUUAAGGUUUUUGGCGUUAGGGUUAAAAUCACUGUCCAAUAUUUUUUAAGGAACAUGUUUCAGACCUUUUGGAGUUAGUUAGACCAAAAAAAAUGAAAAAUGAAAAAAAAAAUUGGGGGGUUUUCGGACUUCCUGAAAGUAAUACCCGUAUUAGGAUAUCUGGCUAGGGUAUGGUUUAAGGUUUUUGGCGUUAGGGUUAAAAUCACUGUCCAAUAUUUUUUAAGGAACAUGUUUGAGACCUUUUGGAGUUAGUUAGACAAAAAAAAAUGAAAAAUGAAAAAAAAAUAUUUGGGGUUUUCGGGCUUCCUGAAGGUAAUACCCGGGUAUUAGGUUAUGGGGCUAGGGUAAGGUUUAAGGUUUUUGGCGUUAGGGUUAAAAUCACUGUCCAAAACCUUUUUUUAAGGAACAAUGUUUCAGACCUUUUGGAGUUAGUUAGACCAAAAAACAUGAAAAAUGAAAAAAAAAAUUGGGGUGUUUUCGGGCUUCCUGAAGGUAAUACCCGUAUAAGGAUAUCUGGCUAGGGUAUGGUUUAAGGUUUUUGGCGUUAGGGUUAAAAUCACUGUCCAAAACCUUUUGUAGGAACAAUGUUUAGACCUUUUGGAGUCAGUUACACCAAAAAAAAUGUAAAAUGAAAAAAAAAUAUUUGGGGUUUUCGGGCUUCCUGAAGGUAAUACCCGGGUAUUAGGUUAUGGGGCUACGGUAAGGUUUAAGGUUUUUGGCGUUAGAGUUAAAAUCAGUGUCCAAAACCUUUUUAGGAACUCUUUUCCAACCUUUUGGAGUUAGUUACACCAAAAAAAAAGAAAAAUGAAAAAAAGAUAUUUUGGGUUUUCGGGCUUCCUGAAGGUAAUACCCGGGCCUUAGGUUAUAGGGCUAGGGAAAGGUUUAAGGUUUUUGAUAGGGUUAAAAUCACUGUCCAAAACCUUUUUAGGAACUCUUUUCCAACCUUUUGGAGAUAGUUAGACCAAAAAAAAUGUAAAAAGAAAAAAAAAUAUUUGGGGUGUUCAGGCUUCCUGAAGGUAAUACCCGGGUAAUAGGUUAUGGGGCUAGGGUAAGGUUUAAGGUUUUUGGCGUUAGGGUUAAAAUCACUGUCCAAAACCUUUGUUGGAACAAGUUUCAAACCUUUUGGAGUUAGUUAGACCAAAAAAAAAAUGAUGAAUGAAAAAAAAAAUAUUUGGGGUUUUCGGGCUUCCUGAAGGUAUUACCCGGGUAUUAGAUUAUGGGGCUAGGGAAAGGUUUAAGGUUUUUGGCGUUAGGGUUAAAAUCACUGUCCAAAACCUUUGUAGGAACAAGUUUCAAACCUUUUGGAGUUAGUUAGACCAAAAAAAAACGAAAAAUGAAAAAAUAAAUGUUUGGGGUGUUAAGGCUUCCUUUAGGUAAUACCCGGGUAAUAGGUUAUGGGGCUAGGGUAAGGUUUAAGGUUUUUGGCGUUAGGGUUAAAAUCACUGUCCAAAACCUUUGUUGGAACAAGUUUCAGACCUUUUGGAGUUGGUUACACCAAGAAAAAAUGUAAAAUGAAAAAAAAAUAUUUGGGAUUUUUGGGCUUCCUGAAGGUAAUACCCGGGUAUUAGGUUUUGGGGCUAGGGUAAGGUUUAAGGUUUUUGGCGUUAGGGUUAAAAUCACUGUCCAAAACCUUUGUAGGAACAAGUUUCAAACCUUUUGGAGUUAGUUAGACCAAAAAAAAUGAAAAAUGAAAAAAAAAAAUGUUUGGGGUGUUAAGGCUUCCUUUAGGUAAUACCCGGGAAUUAGGUUAUGGGGCUAGGGUAAGUUUUAAGGUUUUUGGCGUAAGGGUUAAAAUGACUGUCCAAAACCUUUGUUGGAACAAGUUUCAAACCUUUUAGAGUUAGUUAGACCAAAAAAAAAAUGAAAAAUGAAAAAAAAAAUUGGGGUGUUUUCGGGCUUCCUUUAGGUAAUACCCGGGUAUUAGGUUAUGGGGCUUUGGAAAGGUUUAAGGUUUUUGGUGUUAGGGUUAAAAUCACUGUCCAAAACCUUUGUAGGAACUCUUUUCCAACCUUUUGGAGUUAGUUAAACCAAAAAAAAGUGAAAAAUGAAAAAAAAAAAUGUUUGGGGUGUUAAGGCUUCCUUAAGGUAAUACCCGGGUAAUAGGUUAUGGGGCUAGGGUAAGGUUUAGGGUUUUUGGCGUUAGUGUUAAAAUCACUGUCCAAAAUUUUUGAAGGAACAUGUUUCAGACCUUUUGGAGUUAGUUAGACCAAAAAAAAAAGAAAAAUGAAAAAAAAAUAUUUGGGGUUUUUGGGCUCCCUGAAGGUAAUACCCGGGUAUUAGGUUUUGGGGCUAGGGUAAGGUUUAAGGUUUUUGGCGUUAGGGUUAAAAUCACUGUCCAAUAUUUUUUAAGGAACAAGUUUCAAACCUUUUGGAGUUAGUUAGACCAAAAAAAAAAUGAUAAAUGAAAAAAAAAAUAUUUGGGGUUUUCGGGCUUCCUGAAGGUAUUACCCGGGUAUUAGAUUAUGGGGCUAGGGAAAGGUUUAAGGUUUUUGGCGUUAGGGUUAAAAUCACUGUCCAAAACCUUUGUUGGAACAAGUUUCAAACCUUUUGGAGUUAGUUAGACCAAAAAAAAACGAAAAAUGAAAAAAAAAAAUGUUUGGGGUGUUAAGGCUUCCUUUAGGUAAUACCCGGGUAAUAGGUUAUGGGGCUAGGGUAAGGUUUAAGGUUUUUGGCGUUAGGGUUAAAAUCACUGUCCAAAACCUUUGUUGGAACAAGUUUCAUACCUUUUGGAGUUAGUUACACCAAGAAAAAAUGUAAAAUGAAAAAAAAAUAUUUGGGAUUUUUGGGCUUCCUGAAGGUAAUACCCGGGUAUUAGGUUUUGGGGCUAGGGUAAGGUUUAAGGUUUUUGGCGUUAGGGUUAAAAUCACUGUCCAAAACCUUUGUAGGAACAAGUUUCAAACCUUUUGGAGUUAGUUAGACCAAAAAAAAUGAAAAAUGAAAAAAAAAAAUGUUUGGGGUGUUAAGGCUUCCUUUAGGUAAUACCCGGGAAUUAGGUUAUGGGGCUAGGGUAAGUUUUAAGGUUUUUGGCGUAAGGGUUAAAAUGACUGUCCAAAACCUUUGUUGGAACAAGUUUCAAACCUUUUAGAGUUAGUUAGACCAAAAAAAAAAUGAAAAAUGAAAAAAAAAAUUGGGGUGUUUUCGGGCUUCCUUUAGGUAAUACCCGGGUAUUAGGUUAUGGGGCUUUGGAAAGGUUUAAGGUUUUUGGUGUUAGGGUUAAAAUCACUGUCCAAAACCUUUGUAGGAACUCUUUUCCAACCUUUUGGAGUUAGUUAAACCAAAAAAAAGUGAAAAAUGAAAAAAAAAUGUUUGGGGUGUUCGGGCUUCCUGAAGGUAGUAUUAGGUAAUGGGGCUAGGGAAAGGUUUAAGAUUUUUGGCAUUAGGGUAAAAAUCACUGUCCAAAACCUUUGUAGGAACUCUUUUCAAACCUUUUGGAGUUAGUUAGACAAAAAAAAAAAAUGAAAAAUGAAAAAAAAAAAAAAGUUUGGGGUGUUAAGGCUUCCUUAAGGUAAUACCCGGGUAUUAGGUUAUGGGGCUAGGGUAAGGUUUAAGGUUUUUGGCGUUAGGGUUAAAAUCACUGUCCAAAACCUUUGUUGGAACAAGUUUCAAACCUUUUGGAGUUAGUUAGACCAAAAAAAAAAUGAUGAAUGAAAAAAAAAAUAUUUGGGGUUUUCGGGCUUCCUGAAGGUAUUACCCGGGUAUUAGAUUAUGGGGCUAGGGAAAGGUUUAAGGUUUUUGGCGUUAGGGUUAAAAUCACUGUCCAAAACCUUUGUAGGAACAAGUUUCAAACCUUUUGGAGUUAGUUAGACCAAAAAAAAUGAAAAAUGAAAAAAAAAAAUGUUUGGGGUGUUAAGGCUUCCUUUAGGUAAUACCCGGGUAAUAGGUUAUGGGGCUAGGGUAAGGUUUAAGGUUUUUGGCGUUAGGGUUAAAAUCACUGUCCAAAACCUUUGUUGGAACAAGUUUCAGACCUUUUGGAGUUGGUUACACCAAGAAAAAAUGUAAAAUGAAAAAAAAAUAUUUGGGAUUUUUGGGCUUCCUGAAGGUAAUACCCGGGUAUUAGGUUUUGGGGCUAGGGUAAGGUUUAAGGUUUUUGGCGUUAGGGUUAAAAUCACUGUCCAAAACCUUUGUAGGAACAAGUUUCAAACCUUUUGGAGUUAGUUAGACCAAAAAAAAUGAAAAAUGAAAAAAAAAAUGUUUGGGGUGUUGAGGCUUCCUUUAGGUAAUACCCGGGAAUUAGGUUAUGGGGCUAGGGUAAGUUUUAAGGUUUUUGGCGUAAGGGUUAAAAUGACUGUCCAAAACCUUUGUUGGAACAAGUUUCAAACCUUUUAGAGUUAGUUAGACCAAAAAAAAAAUGAAAAAUGAAAAAAAGAAAUUGGGGUGUUUUCGGGCUUCCUUUAGGUAAUACCCGGGUAUUAGGUUAUGGGGCUUUGGAAAGGUUUAAGGUUUUUGGUGUUAGGGUUAAAAUCACUGUCCAAAACCUUUGUAGGAACUCUUUUCCAACCUUUUGGAGUUAGUUAAACCAAAAAAAAAGUGAAAAAUGAAAAAAAAAAUGUUUGGGGUGUUCGGGCU